rnacentral:tRNA from 1 species
AGGUCCAGGUGUUAGCGGCAGCACUCCGGUCUCUUAAACCGGAUGUGAGGGUUCAAGUCCCUCGGGCCU